CCCGCUGAACUUAAGUAUAUCAAUAAGCGGAGGAAAAGAGACUAACAAGGAUUCCCCUAGUAACUGCGAGUGAAGCGGGAAAAGCUCAAAUUUAAAAUCUGGUGGUCUUUGGCUAUCCGAGUUGUAAUCUAGAGAAGUGUUAUCCGCGCUGGACCGUGUACAAGUCUCCUGGAAUGGAGCGUCAUAGAGGGUGAGAAUCCCGUCUUUGACACGGACUGCCAGUGCUUUGUGAUGCGCUCUCAAAGAGUCGAGUUGUUUGGGAAUGCAGCUCAAAAUGGGUGGUAAAUUCCAUCUAAAGCUAAAUAUUGGCGAGAGACCGAUAGCGAACAAGUACCGUGAGGGAAAGAUGAAAAGAACUUUGGAAAGAGAGUUAAACAGUACGUGAAAUUGCUGAAAGGGAAACGCUUGAAGUCAGUCGCGUUGUCCGGGGAUCAACCUUGCUUUUGCUGGGCGUACUUCCCGGUUGACGGGUCAGCAUCAAUUUUGACCGUUGGAUAAAGUCUAGGGGAAUGUGGCAUCUUCGGAUGUGUUAUAGCCCUUGGUCGCAUACAACGGUUGGGAUUGAGGAACUCAGCACGCCGCAAGGCCGGGUAUUCGUACCACGUUCGUGCUUAGGAUGCUGGCAUAAUGGCUUUAGUCGACCCGUCUUGAAACACGG
rnacentral:rRNA from 1 species